GCCCUCGUAGCUCAAUGGAUAGAGCAAAUCCCUUCUAAGGAUAAGAUGGAGGUUCGAUUCCCCCCGAGGGCA
rnacentral:tRNA from 1 species